GUCUCAGUUCGGAUCGGAGUCUGNAACCCGACUCCGUGAAGCUGGAUUCGCUAGUAAUCGCGCAUCAGCCAUGGCGCGGUGAAUACGUUCCCGGGCCUUGUACACACCGCCCGUCAAGCCAUGGAAGCCGGGGGGUGCCUGAAGUGUGCAGCCGCAAGGAGCGCCCUAAGGUAAAACCGGUGACUGGGGCUAAGUCGUAACAAGGUACC
rnacentral:rRNA from 1 species